CCGUAACUAUAACGGUCCUAAGGUAGCGAAAUUCCUUGUCGGGUAAGUUCCGACCCGCACGAAUGGCGUAACGAUGGCCACACUGUCUCCUCCCGAGACUCAGCGAAGUUGAAAUGGUUGUGAAGAUGCAAUCUCCCCGCUGCUAGACGGAAAGACCCCGUGAACCUUUACUGUAGCUUUGCAUUGGACUUUGAAGUCACUUGUGUAGGAUAGGUGGGAGGCUUAGAAGCAGAGACGCCAGUCUCUGUGGAGCCGUCCUUGAAAUACCACCCUGGUGUCUUUGAGGUUCUAACCCAGACCCGUAAUCCGGGUCGGGGACCGUGCAUGGUAGGCAGUUUGACUGGGGCGGUCUCCUCCCAAAGAGUAACGGAGGAGUUCGAAGGUUACCUAGGUCCGGUCGGAAAUCGGACUGAUAGUGCAAUGGCAAAAGGUAGCUUAACUGCGAGACCGACAAGUCGAGCAGGUGCGAAAGCAGGACAUAGUGAUCCGGUGGUUCUGAAUGGAAGGGCCAUCGCUCAACGGAUAAAAGGUACUCCGGGGAUAACAGGCUGAUUCCGCCCAAGAGUUCAUAUCGACGGCGGAGUUUGGCACCUCGAUGUCGGCUCAUCACAUCCUGGGGCUGUAGUCGGUCCCAAGGGUAUGGCUGUUCGCCAUUUAAAGUGGUACGUGAGCUGGGUUUAAAACGUCGUGAGACAGUUUGGUCCCUAUCUGCAGUGGGCGUUGGAAGUUUGACGGGGGCUGCUCCUAGUACGAGAGGACCGGAGUGGACGAACCUCUGGUGUACCGGUUGUCACGCCAGUGGCAUCGCCGGGUAGCUAAGUUCGGGAAGGAUAAGCGCUGAAAGCAUCUAAGCGCGAAACCUGCCUGGAGAUGAGACUUCCCUGGGGGUUAAACCCUCCUGAAGAGUCGUUCUAGACCAGGACGUUGAUAGGUGGGGUGUGGAAGCGCGGCAACGCGUGCAGCUAACCCAUACUAAUUGCUCGUGAGGCUUGACUCU
rnacentral:rRNA from 1 species